AAUGGACGAAAGUCCGAUCCAGCCAUCCCGCGUGCAGGAUGAAUGCCCUAUGGGUUGUAAACUGCUUUUGGAAGGGAAGAAACGCCCCGAUUCAUCGGGGCCUGACGGUACCUUCAGAAUAAGCACCGGCUAACUCCGUGCCAGCAGCCGCGGUAAUACGGAGGGUGCAAGCGUUAUCCGGAAUCACUGGGUUUAAAGGGUGCGUAGGCGGCGCAAUAAGUCAGAGGUGAAAGCCUGCGGCUCAACCGUAGAAUUGCCUUUGAUACUGCUACGCUUGAAUCAGGUUGAGGUUGGCGGAAUGUGGCAUGUAGCGGUGAAAUGCAUAGAUAUGCCAUAGAACACCAAUUGCGAAGGCAGCUGACUGGACCUGUAUUGACGCUGAGGCACGAAAGCGUGGGGAGCAAA
rnacentral:rRNA from 1 species